UGGUUUCUCUUCCCCCAUAAACCUACUUUCCUCUGUGUUACAUUGCCCCCUGCCCAGCUCAGAUCCAGGCCUUAUGAUGCCAGGCACUAGAGCUUUUCAUUCAUAACCACUCCUAAAACUAAAAGAGGAUUUUUUUUGCAGGAAAUGUCAAUUUCCAAUUAUUAUUGUCAACCUCAAAUGAUUUUUUUUCUAUUUUUUUGAUGACCCCAAAUCAACAAAAAUGUGAAGACUCAAAGGCCAGACAAAAAGAAAUACCCGGUUUGUUUGGGGCAGAAUUUCUUUUUGUCAGAGCAAAAAGCAUUUCCUGAGCAGCCCUCCUAGGCACUGGCCAGGCGUACUGCCCAGAACUGAACAGCUUCCAGACUCAGGCAUGGUCUACACCUAAACUUUAGGUUGACCUAGCUAUUUUAUUCAGGUCCAUACAAAUAUCAUGCCCAGUGUGAUGUGGUUAGAUUGACCUGCCCCCACCGAAGACACAGCUAUGUCGAUGGAAGAAUUCUUCCACUGAGCUAGCUGCAGCCUCUCAGAGAGUUAAUUACCUAUAAUAAUGGAAAACUCAUUCCAUUGCUGUAGAAAGUGGUACGCUACAGGAGCAACACUGUACCUGUACUGCUAUAGAUGUGUACUGUAGUGAGACCUUGUUUCUCUGUUUCAUCCAGGAGUGGGGAACCUCAGGUCCGGGUGCCACAUCCGGCCUCGGCUUGCCUGGAUCCGGCCCUUGAGGCUCAGGUCUCCUCCCCCAGCACUGGGGAGCCUGCACUGCCAAUCCAGCCCCCUCACCAGCCCACCGCAGAGCUGGAGCACACAAAAUCUACUAGCCUGGACCCCCCUAGACCCUGGAAGUAUGGGGACUGUCUUUCUCCUUCUCAGUUGGGGGCCACGACCGUGAGGUUGCAGCCUUUCUUCAGAGCAGGAGGAACCAGUGUGGUGCCAUCCUUCAAAAGAUGGAUUGGAUCACUGGCGGGGUGAAACCCAUCCAGAAACACUGAAAGGUGUGAACAAGGCAAAGGAUAGGAGCUGGAGGGUGUGCACGCUCCAAUCUGCAUUCCAUGCCGGUAUCGUCAUGGGCUGUAGGUGUUGGGCGGAUUGCGCUGUACACCACGGAUGUUUGUGCUGGAUUGUGUUUGUCACCAGGGUUGGACAGUUGCUGCGACAUCACCAAUUGAGUUAUUGGGAAUCCUGCUGCUGCGUCCAACGCCCUCCAGCUCUGAGCUGCAGCAUCGGCCUUGGGUAACCCCCUCCCUAACCCUGUGUGGGAGCGAACAAGCCGAGGCAGGACAGCCCCACCCAGUUCCAGGGCAGGCUGAGCUGUGCUGUUAGGAAGCUGGAACUGCAGCUGCGUGCCUGGGCUUUACCCAUGUUAGGGAAACACUGAGGGCCAGUCUCCAGGUCCAUCAUCCUGGCAGCUUUCCUCAGCACUAAAUUUACGUUUUAAAGCCAUAUCAAUGUUGCACCCAAAGGGAAUGGAGGAACAGAUGCAGACUGCAGAGUUUGGCUUUAAUUCAUCUGCUUCGUUUAAUUUCCUACCCUGCCUUCUAAUCAGUGACAUUGCAUUGAUGGCUCUGGGAAUACAGCAAUUUCUCGUACAGGCACUGUUUAGUACAGCACAGUGCCUGUGCCAUCUUAGCUUGUUCACAGGAUCUCACUCAGGGCAGCUGUGCCACAUUACAGCCAGGCACUCUGUCAGCCAGGGUGGCCGUGCCAUGUUACCUGACAGGGCUAUGCCAUAUUACCUCAGAGUUACCUCUUGCUGAGGGCAGCUGUGCCACAUUACCUCAUAGGCACUCUGUCAGCCAGGGUGGCUGUGCCAUGUUACCUGACAGGGCUAUGCCAUGUUACCUUAAAGUGGCUCUCUUUCUGAGGGCAGCUGUGCUGCAUUACCUCACAGAGGCUCUCUCACUCAAGGCAUCUGUCCCAUGUUGCCUCACAGGCAUUGAAGGGCAGCUGUGCCACAUUACCUCACAGGGCUGUGCCACAUUACCUCACAAGUGCUGUCUUACUCAGGGCAGCUGUGCCAUGUUACCUCAGUAAGGCUGUCUCAGGAAGGUUGUCACCUAUUUUUGUUGGUGGUGGACCAAAUUUCCUCCAUCCUCAACUUUAUGUGCUGUUGAUCACCCCGAGCAGCACUGCUUGUUCGUUCAGUCGUCUGAGACCAAAACACUCAGAGGCUGGGUAGAUGUUCUUCUGGGUGACAGCCCUUCUUUUGUAAGGCUUUUGGUAUCUCCUGCAUAGUAUAAUCUGCAUCAGAUUGCUUUUACCUGCAGAAAUGGAGAACUAGGAUCUAGUAGUAAUGCACUUGCAUGGUGGAAUAAAAGCUUUGCGGAGAACAAUGAAAAAUAAGUAUUUAUGCUAGCUUUUGGGUGCCACUCAGCUGCUGCUCAUUGUGAAGUGUUAAACAGAACCAAGCCCGCGUGUCUUGCUGUCUACAGGAGUGAGUUGUAGAGCUGUUUAAGACAGCCUUUAGGUACUUGUGUGCCUCAGUAAUGUGUGUGGGUCUAAACUUAAUAGACCCAGCAAGACAGGCCCAUCAACAGCAAUUCUGGGCUCUAGGACAGCACAAUCAAUGGGCCCCUUACUCCCCUCACUUGGCCAGACCCUCCCCAGAGAAAACCCAAGUGCCCCUCACUUCAUCAGAAGACCUCCUGGCUGGUUGCAGCCCUAUCCCACACCUGUCCAGGGAAACCCCUCCCCUCCCUGCCCCAGACCCAACCCAGUGAUACUUGCUGUUCAGAUGCCUUGGCACUGGAAUAGGGCAUAUCAAAAGCAUCUUUGAAGGGAAACUUUCCCCCCGAGCAGGUUGGGUCUGUGGAAGGGAAGGGAUGUGCAGCAGUGGCUGGCCUGGGGCUCCUCUGGCCAGGGAGGGGGCCCCAUGGCUGGCCAAGGACUCCGCUUGUAGUGCUCAGGGCUUCUCCACGCAGGGAGGCCUAGAGCUGCUUCAGGACUUCUCUGACUUGCGGGGGAGGGGCUCAGGGCUUCUUUGUGUGGAGGAGCCUACAGCUGACCUGGGACUUCUCUGGCUAGGGCAGGGAGGGAUGCUUCACAUUCUCUAGAUGGGGGUGGGCGUGUGGCUCCGGCUGGGGAAGAGGAGAUCUUGUGACUAUGGCCACAGAGGGAGGGUGCGGGUGGAAGGAGUGGGGUUGGGUGCAGCAUCAUUCAUAGGGGCUCCAUCCACUGCCCAUGCACCCAUGCCUGUGGCCCACCUGGACGAUUUCAGCCUGGUGCGGUUCCCAGCUGCCGCUACCCCUGCAGAGGCCAGGGCCAUGGGCAAUUGCCCUCUUUGUCCCCCACUCCACACAUGUAGGUGGGCCUGGGUCAAAAUUGCUAUCUUCCUAAAAAUUAGAUAGUUGUGGCUUUUCGGGGCUUUGUCAUGUAUGUCGCAGACCUAUACUAUAGUAUAAUUGCCGGUACCACUCUACAAUACCAGCACCUCAGUGAUGCUCAGAUAGAAUCAUAGAACUCUAGAAAUGGAAGGGAGUUGGAGAGGUCAUCAAGUCCAGACCCCUGCCCC